rnacentral:rRNA from 1 species
GGAUCAGUUAGUUGGUCAUGCCUUGGUAUGUACUGAUUUUAUUGGUUCUCACCUUCUAAAGAACUAUAAUGUCAUUUAUUUGAUGUUAUAGGGAAUUAGGACUGUUACCUUGAAAAAAUUAGAGUGUUUAAAGCAGGCUCACGCUUGAAUACAUUAGCAUGGAAUAAUGAAAUAGGACAUCGCAUUCUAUUUUGUUGGUUUCUAGGAUCGAUGUA